rnacentral:rRNA from 1 species
UACGGGGGGGGGCAAGCGUUGUUCGGAAUUACUGGGCGUAAAGGGCUCGUAGGCGGCCAACUAAGUCGGACGUGAAAUCCCCAGGCUCAACCUGGGAACUGCGUCCGAUACUGGAUGGCUUGAAUUCGGGAGAGGGAUGCAGAAUUCCAGGUGUAGCGGUGAAAUGCGCAGAUAUCAGGAGGAACACCAAUUGCGAAGGCAGCUCGCUGGGACGUUACUGACGCUGAGACGCGAAAGCGUGGGGAGCAAACAGG